rnacentral:rRNA from 1 species
UGGGGAAUCUUGCGCAAUGCGCGAAAGCGUGACGCAGCAACGCCGCGUGGGGGAAGAAGGCCUUCGGGUUGUAAACCCCUUUCAGUUGGGACGAAGCCCGGGCGGUGAAUAGCCGUUCCGGGUGACGGUACCUUCACAAGAAGCUCCGGCUAACUACGUGCCAGCAGCCGCGGUAAUACGUAGGGGGCAAGCGUUGUCCGGAAUCAUUGGGCGUAAAGAGCGCGUAGGCGGCCCGAUAAGUCCGCUGUGAAAGUCAAGGGCUUAACCCUUGAAUGCCGGUGGAAACUGUCGGGCUAGAGUCCGGAAGAGGCGAGUGGAAUUCCUGGUGUAGCGGUGAAAUGCGCAGAUAUCAGGAGGAACACCAAUGGCGAAGGCAGCUCGCUGGGACGGUACUGACGCUGAGGCGCGAAAGCGUGGGGAGCAAACAG